UAUGGCCCUAACACGUUGAAACACUGGUUACUGUAUGGUCACCAAAGUUAAGCAACAGCGAGCCUGGUCAGUACCUAGAUGGGUAACCACUUGGGAAUACAAGGUGCUGUAA